UACGGGGGGAGCAAGCGUUGUUCGGAUUUACUGGGCGUAAAGGGCGCGUAGGCGGCCUCUGCAAGUCGACUGUGAAAUCUCCGGGCUUAACCCGGAAAGGUCAGCCGAUACUGCAGGGCUAGAGUGCAGAAGGGGCAACUGGAAUUCUCGGUGUAGCGGUGAAAUGCGUAGAUAUCGAGAGGAACACCUGCGGCGAAGGCGGGUUGCUGGGCGGACACUGACGCUGACAGCGCGAAAGCUAGGGGAGCGAACGGG
rnacentral:rRNA from 1 species